UACGUAGGGGGCAAGCGUUGUCCGGAUUUAUUGGGCGUAAAGAGCGUGUAGGCGGUUUGGUAGGUCCGCUGUGAAAACUCGAGGCUCAACCUCGAGACGCCGGUGGAAACCAUCAGGCUAGAGUCCGGAAGAGGAGAGUGGAAUUCCCGGUGUAGUGGUGAAAUGCGUAGAUAUCGGGAGGAACACCAGUGGCGAAGGCGACUUCCUGGCCUGUUCUUGACGCUGAGGCGCGAAAGCUAGGGGAGCAAACAGG
rnacentral:rRNA from 1 species